rnacentral:rRNA from 1 species
UUUUCAGCCGCCGCGGUAAUACGAAGGGAGCUAGCGUUGUUCGGAAUCACUGGGCGUAAAGCGCACGUAGGCGGACUUGUCAGUCAGGGGUGAAAUCCCGGAGCUCAACUUCGGAACUGCCUCUGAUACAGCAAGUCUCGAGUCCGGAAGAGGUGGGUGGAAUUCCUAGUGUAGAGGUGAAAUUCGUAGAUAUUAGGAAGAACACCGGUGGCGAAGGCGGCCCACUGGUCCGGUACUGACGCUGAGGUGCGAAAGCGUGGGGAGCAAACAGGAUUAGAUACCCCCGUAGUCC